rfam:Loxodonta africana unplaced genomic scaffold scaffold_81, whole genome shotgun sequence.
GUGUGUGGUACCUUACUCCAGAAGGUGGCAAUCGUGUGUUCUUAAGCAUGAUUGACACUGCUGGGGUUGAGUAACGCAUGA